GCCAGAGAUGUAGUUGGUUGGCCUAAGGGGAACUUACAAAGUGGGUUGGAGAAGUUCCAAAAAGCAUCUUAGCAAUCACUGUGACACUAUACAUUGUAAGAAAAGAAGCCUUUCAGUGGUAUUUGUGUGUGGCGAGAGUGAGUGUUCGUGGCCCUGCUGCUGACUGGCAGCUAUGAAGACAUGUUUUCCAAUACAGACAAUUCCAACUGGACAGAUGUGCUUCCUGGUCAUCUGUUUCCUCCAGUGUAGCUGUCUGCAUUUGUGCUCUGCACAUUUUGCAACGCAUCCGAGGCCAUGCACUUUUGACAAAGUGUGCAUCAGAUUGAUGAAUGAAAAAGCUGGUCAGAAAUCCCCGCUCCAAGGCAAAAACUGGGAGUUUGGGGCCCAA